GGAAUACAAAUAUUAUCAGACACCAGGAGGAAGGUCCUGUGGAGUUUCCAAAGAACUUUGUGUGCAGCGUUAAAAGGUUGCUAUCUAGUGGCCUAAUGCAGCACUCCAGCUGGACUGCUGAGAUUUCCUUUCAUUUCUUCAUGUUACUUUUCAGAUCUGUAUAUUUUCUCCUUUUACUGCUGAGUCCAUGGCUGGCUGUGAAGGCCAGAUCCUCCUUUGAUAGUAGGCAUGGCACCAUUGUGGUUGAUUCAUACUAGCUGAGGAUUUGGACCUAUGUUACCUAUCCAUCAGUGAUCGGCAUGGAAACCUCAAAUGCAAUUUCAUCCCCAUGUGUCCUAUCCAGGGUAUUGUACAAGUGGUUGGAGCAAUAAUACACUCAGUUCAUUAAUCAAUACAGAAUGAGGAAUUCAUUUGAAAGAAUAAAUAUUAUUUUCCCCCUCUGAGCCAUGUUUGGGUAGAGGGGGUGGAAUUGAAGCAUCCACGAGCUAUUCUAUCUGUGCAGAGGAGAUGGAAGCAGAAUGGACCGGGGUGUGCUACGGAAGCAUGCUCAGUAGUAGCCCUUACCGCUGUUGCAGAAAGGCACUGGCCCAAAACAUUGUCCUGUCUGAGGCUGCUGAGUCCUGCUGAUAGCACUUUCAGCCUUCUACCUACUUCCUGCACGGUGGGAACAGGGGAACCUGCCAUGGCCCCCAGUGACUCUCCUUUCCAAACUCAGUUGUGUAACGAAAGCCAGUUUGCUUAUU